rnacentral:rRNA from 1 species
GACGAACGCUGGCGGCGUGCUUAACACAUGCAAGUCGAACGAAGAGCGAUGGAAGCUUGCUUCUAUCAAUCUUAGUGGCGAACGGGUGAGUAACGCGUAAUCAACCUGCCCUUCAGAGGGGGACAACAGUUGGAAACGACUGCUAAUACCGCAUACGAUCUAAUCUCGGCAUCGAGGAUAGAUGAAAGGUGGCCUCUACAUGUAAGCUAUCACUGAAGGAGGGGAUUGCGUCUGAUUAGCUAGUUGGAGGGGUAACGGCCCACCAAGGCGAUGAUCAGUAGCCGGUCGGAGAGGAUGAACGGCCACAUUGGGACUGAGACACGGCCCAGACUCCUACGGGAGGCAGCAGUGGGGAAUCUUCCGCAAUGGACGAAAGUCUGACGGAGCAACGCCGCGUGAGUGAUGACGGCCUUCGGGUUGUAAAGCUCUGUUAAUCGGGACGAAAGGCCUUCUUGCGAACAGUUAGAAGGAUUGACGGUACCGGAAUAGAAAGCCACGGCUAACUACGUG